AAAGCGCCUGUAGGUUGUUUAGUAAGUCUGUUGUUAAAGACCAGGGCUUAACCCUGGGAAAGCAAUGGAAACUACUAGACUUGAGUAUGGCAGGGGUAGAGGGAAUUUCUAGUGUAGCGGUGAAAUGCGUAGAUAUUAGAAAGAACACCGGCGGCGAAAGCGCUCUACUGGACCAUUACUGACACUCAGAGGCGAAAGCUAGGGGAGCAAAAGGGAUUAGAUACCCCUGUAGUCCUAGCCGUAAACGAUGGAUACUAGAUGUUGCGCAAUUUGUGCAGUAUCUUAGCUAACGCGUUAAGUAUCCCGCCUGGGGAGUACGCUCGCAAGGGUGAAACUCAAAGGAAUUGACGGGGGCCCGCACAAGCGGUGGAGCAUGUGGUUUAAUUCGAUGCAACGCGAAGAACCUUACCAGGGCUUGACAUACUACAAAUCUUUUCGAAACGAAAGAGUGCCUUCGGGAAUGUAGAUACAGGUGGUGCAUGGCUGUCGUCAGCUCGUGUCGUGAGAUGUUGGGUUAAGUCCCGCAACGAGCGCAACCCUCAUUUUUAGUUGCCAAUUUAUUGGGAUUUCUAGAGAGACUGCCGGUGACAAACCGGAGGAAGGUGAGGAUGACGUCAAGUCAGCAUGCCCCUUAUGCCCUGGGCCACACACGUGCUACAAUGGCGAAGACAAAGAGUCGCAAACCUGCGAAGGCUAGCUA
rnacentral:rRNA from 3 species